rnacentral:tRNA from 1 species
GCGAGCUUGGCGGAAUUGGCAGACGCGCUGGAUUCAAAAUCCUGUUCCGAAAGGAGUUCGGGUUCGACCCCCGAAGUUCGCACCA